UUGGCAUAGGAAUAGGCCUGAGAUGUUGAUGAAGAGAGAGAGAGAUUGGGUUUGAAGCUUUAGCCAACGAAAGAGAGAGGGAUUUGAAAGUUAGGUUUUUUUUCUUCCCCUUAGCGAUUAAGAGAGAGAGAGAUUUGGGGGUUAGGGUUCUUCUGUUAGAUUAAGAGAUAAAGAGAUUGGGGGAUUGGAGUUCUUCUGGUGGCUGCUAUUGAGAGAGAGAGAAAGAGAUUUGGGGUUCUUCUGUUAGGUGGUGAUUAAGAUAGAAAGAGAUGGCGGCAAGAGCGAUCGCGAAAAAUAUUUAUGUGAAUCCUCAAGCAUUAUCGAUGAUUCGUCGUGUUUUUCUAUCCCCUGGAAUAGAUAGAACACGGUCUUGCUCUGAAAUGGUUAAAGCAACUGUUAAAACUUCGUCUGCAGAAGAUGAAUCCAAAACAAUAAAAGAUAAUGUUAAUAAGGUAAAAGCAGUGGUUUAUGAUGAUGUGUGGAAAACAAAAAUUGUUGAAGAGAUUGAGGAAACUGGUUUGAAAUUGCUCCAACUGCUCCGAAAGUUACGUGAUGAAGAAGAUGAGAUGUUUAUUGACUCAAACGAUAAAGUGGUUAAUUAUAUGAAACCCAUAUAUAAGCUGUGGAGUAAAAAGAUUGAAGAGGAGGAGCGGAAACUUCUACAAGAGGGAUGGACACAUUUGAGAGAUUCAUUACUUGGUACACCAGGAUUGGAAACAUGUCAUAUUCGAUCACUAUUAUCUAUCCAGCACCACAUUGGGUCAGGAGGAGAAGGAAUUGUUAAAUUUGCAACUGCUUCGCCUCACACAGGGUUAAUUGAUGUUAGGAGAUUAGCAUUACAACGUCCAGGUCCGUAUGGAUUACCAAGACAAGUAGUCAUGGGUGUGGUAUGUAUUACCACCAAGGAUGCAUUUCUCUUGUAUAAUCCUACCACUGGUGCUGCAUCACCUUGGAUUGAAACUACCACCACUCGGAAAGGAAAAGCUAGGCGCCAAGUUGAGUCCAUCGCUUUAGGAUUUGAUCACCAAUUUGUGGGAAGUCGUCAUAAAGUCAUAUGCAUAUCAAGAUAUGUGAAGAAAAGAUCUGCUCCUCCUGAUCCAAAAGAUGAUUUUCUGGUUGUGGAGGUUUUGACUGUUCGGGAUCGUAUAUGGGAUAUUGGUGAACAUGAAUGGAGAGAAUUGGAGUUUACCCCACGUUCUUUCGUUGUGGGAGAUAAGUUUGUUUUUCUAGAUGGUCCUCUCUAUAUGGAUGGUAGGAUAUAUUGGCAAUGUCGUUAUCAGAGAUUACAUGAAUCUAUUCUUGAAUUUGAUAUUGAAAGGGAACAGUUCAUUCAUAUUCCCAUUUCUAAAUUUGUAGUUCAAGAGUUCAUUGAUUCUUCAAAACACAUGUGGUCAAUGCUGAUGGAAGUCGAUGGGAAAGUAGCUAUAUUAAAGAGUACAUCAGACGAGGAAACUUCUUCGUUAUGGAUAUGUUAUCAUUCACCAUGUGGCGAAGUCAAAUGGUCGAAAGAGAAGAUCCCAGUACCUUAUGCUUAUGUUGUAUCUCCAGGUUUUUCCAUUGAAGCUCUUAGAAGGAAAGAUCUCAUCUUCAUACGCUCACGUCGUCGUAUUUCCUACUAUAAUCGAAAGACAAAGGUAUCACUGUCCCUAAAGAUUCCGACUUCGCCCAUCCAUGACCACUUUGAUUGCGGAAGGAUGACACAAUUCUAGGUUUCACUCCAAGCUGUUGUCAAUCUGCUCUGCCGGAUAAAUGAGAUUUGUGAUUAUAAAAUUUUACAUGAUAGAUGGAUAUUGGUUUGCCUUUCUCUACAUGAUAACGAUUGAAUGUUUAGGAAGUAAUUACAAGAGCUCUCUUUGUUGGGUUGUGAUUCCUUACAUACCUGUAGGUAACGUAGUUUUUCAUUUAAACCGAUUUAUAUAUUUUUGACAUUUCCUAGAGUUGAUAUUUUGGCUCAUGCAUUGAUGCUAAAAGGAGCCCUGAAUAUGGUGAUGUUACCGGCCAUGGAUGAUUCAAUUAGAGCAUUGUGUAAGAUGGCAAAGAACAAUGUCCUAUGCUUUCUCUUACUGUUCAUGUGAACCGCAAUGUAAACCAUAUAUAGUUAUUCAUAUAUCACUCUUCUGCUUAUUGUGGAACUACUGGGGCUUUCACUUUGAUUCGUUUUGUUAUUUGAUCUUCUCGUAGCCAGCUACACCUACCACUUUGGGAAAAGAAAUGACAAUUUUUGCUGCUAGAUUAAGCCAACAAAGACAUCAUCUAUCCAAAAUUGCUUUUCUGGGAAAGUUUGCUGGUGCUACUGGAAAUUACAACGCGCAUCUUGUCGCAUACCCCGAGCUAAUCUGGGCUCGAGUUGCUGAGGAGUUUGUAACAGCUCUAGAAUUAAGUUUUAACCCCUUUUCUGAUGAUAUAUUCUUUUUACUUUCAUUGAUAUACUCUGGUCUUGUUCUUGUUCAAAACAUCACAUGUGCCGUAUUUAUCUUUACCAAUUUCGCAUCAUUUGAUUUGUUUUACUUGUAACAAUUGAUGAUUCACGUUCAUGUCAUGCUCAUGUAAGUUGUUUAAUGUGGUAUGUGUUUGGAGAAGAUGAAGCUAAUAGUUAUGCAACUGAAUUAGGGUGUUUGAUAGUCUCAUGAUUAUAUGGCAGAACUGUUCAAUGCAAUGAAAUAGUUCAAUGCUAUAUUGAUGGACUUCAACAAGGAUGUAUGGGGCUACGUAUUCCUCCUUUCUGACCUUGCAUGCAGAUUACAAAGGCUGGUGAGGUUGGAUCUUCUACUAUGCCUCAUAAGGUGAAUCCAACAUAUUUCGAGAACAUUAAGGGUAACCAUGGACUGGCCAAUGAUGUAUUAUCUCACCUGAGCGCAAAUUUGGCUAUUUCACCCUGGCAGGUAAAUGAAGCUCGCCUAAGAGAAGAUGUGGAUCAAUGCUGGGAAGUUCUCACUGAGCCAAUACAGACUGUGAUGCGAAGAUAUGGUGUUCCUGAGCCCUAUGAGAAGCUGAAGGAACUAA